rnacentral:lncRNA from 1 species
GGGUCAAUCCGCCCGGACUUUCUGUGCCUCGCCGCAUGUCAAAUUAUUUUUUAUUCAAAAAUUCAAUCCGCAUAACCAGCAAACAAAAAUGUUUAUACCCAUAUCGCCCUGUCAAAACCCGCUUGUAAUAUUAGUUAUAUUACAAUAAUUAUAUUAAUUAUAUAAGAAUUAUAUUUUUAAAAAUAAUAUUAAAAUAAUAUAGUUAUUAAAAUUACAUAAAUAUUUAUAUAAUUUUAUGAAAAAGUUAU